rnacentral:rRNA from 1 species
AUUGAACGCUGGCGGCAGGCCUAACACAUGCAAGUCGAGCGGAUGAAGGGAGCUUGCUCCUGUAUUCAGCGGCGGACGGGUGAGUAAUGCCUAGGAAUCUGCCUGGUAUUUGGGGAUAACGUCCGGAAACGGGCGCUAAUACCGCAUACGUCCUGAUGGUGAACGUGGUGGAUCUUCGGACCUCACGCUAUCAGCUGAGCCUAGGUCGGAUUACCUCGUUGGUGGGGGAAAGGCCUACCCAGGCGACGAUCCGUAACUGGUCUGCGAGGAUGAUCAGUCACACUGGAACUGGGAAACGGUCCAGGCUCCCAAGGGAGGGAGCAGUGGGGAAAAUUGGAGAAAGGGGGGAAGGCUGGACGAGCCAUGCCGGGGGGGGGAAGAAGGUCUUCGGGUUGUAAAGCACCUUAAGUUGGGAGGAAGGGCAGGAAGUUAAAACCUUGCUGUUUUGACGGGACCAUAAGAAGAAGCACAGGCUAACUUAGUG